rnacentral:lncRNA from 1 species
CUCCAGGCCUGUGCAUGCAUCUGCAAUCUCCACCAACGCUGUUUAAAUGAGCAUCUGUUUACUCUAGGUGUGAAUAUGUAGCAGAGUCCCUCCCUUCUAGAGACAUGAAUGGGCUGUCUACACGCCUUUUCCUUCAAUGAACAAAUCAUUCAAUGUCUCAUCCACACAUUCAGCCUAUCGGAUUCUUCCCUAUCCUUCCCACACAGCCCAGAAAGGGAACAGUACUCAAGGUGGCACUAGCAGUUGACUGCCAGGAUUCACUCAAUCAUUUUUCUAUAUUCCCCUACCCCAAACCACUUCUGAAGGGAAGCAAAAAGAUAGUAAAACAUGUUACUGCUCUUCAGGAGAUGUCUCUGGACUAGUUCUCACAGAGGGUAGAAACACUAAGACACUAAGGAUGGUAAAGGUGGGCAGGGACAUCUAGGCAGGUAUGGGUAAGGGCACUCCUGGCCAGGUAAUUUGGCAGGACCUUGUCUGAGAAAGCCAUUAUGAUUUAGCACCUUAUGUAUACUUACAGUAUACCAAAAUCUCAGGGAGGGUCCCCUCUCAGGGAAAUGACAGGCAGGAAACAUAAUUUGAAGUAUUUUAAAUACUGAGCAGAAUAUAAAGCUUCUGUCCUUAGAGUUCAAGAAGCCCAUUGUAACAGGGGUGCAGUGGCAGAGCCAAAACAAAUGGGAACAAGGACAGACUUGAGUCCAGAGAUCUUCUGCACUUUGGACUCAGUACAAUUACAGAUGUUGUUUGUUCUCUAACCCCCAGGGGGGGAAAAACCCACUAAUACACAGAUAGGCACCACCUACUCAAUCAGUGCUGGAAUGACAGGUGUCCUUGAGGAGACUGUCCUCAGGAAGACCUUCCUGGGGAGUCUCUCACUAAGGUCUGGAGAAGGACAGAAAGAUUUGCUUUCAUGAGGGUGUCCCCAAGGCUUUAGAAUUAAGAUAAUUAGCAGACUUGCCUUCUGAUGGGAACAACAGUUGUCAAGUUGGGAUCAUAUGCCACACAGAAGUGGCAUAGCAGACUCUACAGACCAAAUUCUAUAUUAGGGUUCUCCAAAGAAAUGACACUCCCUUAGCAGAUGCACUCCUACCCUUCCUUUGCCCUCCACCCCACUUAGGCUCAUUCUUUUCCAAUACCACCCCUCUCCCCUAGGCUUCUCUUGGGGGAGUAUCUGAGGAAGAGACCUAUUCUAAGGGUCCCCUAUAUAUUGGGCCCAGAUCUCAGGGAGGGUCCCCUCUGAGGGAGAUGACAGGUAGGACAGACAGG